CAGAUACAAUGGAGGAACAAAGAGAUAUUAGGGAUGAUGUUCCUUGUUCUUCUAUCACGGCUGAGUCCGUCGUUCGUUUCGGAACUGGAGGUGCAAUUUGGGGUUUAUGCAUAGGUUUAUAUGAUUCUCGUAAAAAUGGUCUUACUGGUUUUUCCAGAGCUUCCUAUGUGGUAAAAUCAGUUGGUAAAUUGGGGUUACAAUGUGGAGUUUUUGCUGGAAUAUAUACUGGUACACAAUGCGGGGUUGAAAGAUACCGGAGAAAGAAGGACAUGCUAAAUGCUUCAAUUGCUGGUGCUGUAUCUGGGGCAGCUGUCGCCAUCAGGACCAGAAGCUGGACACAAGUAGUUGGCACGGCAGUUCUGGUAUCCGGUAUCACAUCAGCAGCUAAUGUUGCGCGAACAAACUGAUUCAAUUCCUGCUUGAAGAAAACUGUAAGAAGAGAUUCAGUCAAGGUAUGUAUCAGGAUAUUUAAGGCUCAAAUAGAGGCUGCAGACUUGGAUAGUUUUUCAGAGUAGGUGAAAAAGCACACAGAAGAUCUGCGCAAAGUAAUUUUAAUCAAUCGUUGUUUAUCUGUAUGAAGGCCAUGACCAGCAAACUUAUUUGGCUCUGCUGGGAAGAACUCUGUUCCAUAAACAAGUAUUUGAUUGAGAGAGAUACAAUACUUUGAAUUUUGUGGGAAUUGUGGGUCGGCAGGUUCCUUUGUUAAUGCAUGGAAUCACUUAUCACUGUAUAACGUUUCUCUGUGCUCUGGAAAGCAGUAAUCUGCGUAAUAUCGAAUACCUUAUUAAAUCACAGUUGUUUAGAUUGGGGACUUAUCAGUGAAAUGUGUAAUUUUACUGGGCCUUAUUAAAAUUAUUUUUAUUCCUAUUAUAUAAGG